rnacentral:rRNA from 1 species
UACAGAGGUCUCAAGCGUUGUUCGGAUUCAUUGGGCGUAAAGGGUGCGUAGGCGGCGCGGUAAGUCGGGGUGUGAAAUCUCGGAGCUUAACUCCGAAACUGCAUUCGAUACUGCCGUGCUUGAGGACUGGAGAGGAGACUGGAAUUUACGGUGUAGCGGUGAAAUGCGUAGAUAUCGUAAGGAAGACCAGUGGCGAAGGCGGGUCUCUGGACAGUUCCUGGACGCUGAGGCACGAAGGCCAGGGGAGCAAACGGG